CCACCUCACGGAGAGAAGAGGAGAGGGGAGAGAAUUACUGCAUUUCUGGGGGAGGUACCAGCGUCCCCGGCCAAGCCCAGCCCCCCCGCACUCCUCUCCCGCCCCACCCACGCCCGCCGGGCCCCGCCAGCAUCGCCGCAGCGCGGACCCCCCCACACCUCCGCCCGGCUCCGCAGCCCCUGCGCAGCCCGCCCUGUCCCGCACCUGCCCCGCACCCGCCCCGCACCCGCCCGCGGGCCCCUGGCCUCCAGUCGCUUCCCCACAGAGAAACAAAAGAGCUCCGCUGAAGAGGCAGACAGGCGUCUAUUGACCGGUUCUUAACGGGAUUUUCCUCCUCGCACUCCCUUCUUUUGCUUUUUUCUGCCCCCCAAAAUGCGCGGCCCCUUCGGAGGUGGAGGGCGGCCUGGGCAGCGAACCCUGCGCGGGGAGCACAGCGGUGCGUGGCCACCUGAGCACAGGGAGCGAGAGCUCAGCUGGAUGUAAUGAUUCCCGCGAUCCAUGAGCUCCAAAACCGGCUGGACACGGAGCCCCGCUCCUGGUCGGGGCCCUCAGCCGGGCGGCACCGCACCAGCACUGCACCGGCACCCGGCAGGAUGCUCAGUGCGGAGCUCUCCGUCCCCCCCAGCUAAUGCUGAGAUUCUCCUUUCUUUAAAUGAAAUACCGAUAUUUUAGUUUUGUUUCCAAGCGCUUUGUCAGUCAAAAGCCUUACGAUUUUUUAUUUAUUUUGAAUUUUCCGAGAUGAGCGUUCAACACAGCCAACAACGGCAACGGGAUAUUCCGGUGCUGUGCUGUGGCACAGACAAGUGCAGGGUGGCAGGGGGACUAAUGGCAUUUUGGAGCGGUGUGCGGAGAGCACGUCCCCUCUGCGGCGAGGGAGCACUUAAAUCGUUGUUUUAUUAAAAAAAAUAAAAUUAUAUAUAUAUCCUUUGAAAGGUGGGGGGAGGGAGGUUGGAAUCUGUGUUUCGCUUGCUAUUUUGGAAGGUAAAAAAAGAGCAUUGUUUUACUACAGAUGAGUGGAAAAGCCAGUAUUAAAUUAUUUCCCAAUAUCGUUGUUGAGGGAGCGGAGAGGGAGCGUUCGGGCUGCGGUUGCAGGUGGGCUGAGGCACUGAGCAGUGGUGGGGAACGAAUCCUCCUCGACUCCUAGGGAAAGAAACCUUAAAUACCCUCCUUAAAUACCUUUUUUUUUCUUUUUUGUGUUUCCCCCCCCGCCCCCCCCGGCAGAAUCUGAAAGAAAAUUGUGUGCAAAGAGACUGAAAGGCGUAAAACCCCCGCCCCAAAUAAAUAUCCCCAGUGAGGUCUUUACCCCUAAGAGGUGUCUCGGCUGCUGUUCCCGGCUCCCGGUGUAAGGAUGGGGUAGCUGCUGCUACAGCCAACUCCGCAAAAAUGGGGCUUUUGAAUGGCAGCAGAGGAGGCUUUGCGGAGGAAUUAUUACAUGUCAGUGCACAAAUAGGUCGAGAAAGCCGAGCGGGGAAGCGCUUCGCCCCGAGUUUACCAUCGUCUCGACGGGCUGUGGUUUAAGCAGGGAAAAUUAAAAUCGGCCAGAGGAGGAUGCAUUGGGCUCGGGCCGUCACUGGAACUGCUGUUUCACCUCUUCCCACCACUGGAAAAUGACUGCUACGACGAACACCUCGAGGGAUUAAUCCAACGAUUUAUUUCUCUUUUUAUUAUUAUUAUUAAUUUUAUUUAUCCUAAAACGAGUUUUUUUGUGAAAGAAGACAUGAAGAACACCUGUUUCUGGAGGCUGCAAGGGGCAUCAGGGAAGAAGGAACGAAAAUUCAUCCAAACCUCUGUCUGCGCGCCGGGGAGCGGGAGCUGAGCGAGGCGUGGGAGGUUGGAGGGGCGGAUCGAUGGACGGACGGACGGACCGACAGACGGAGGCAGCCGCGUCACUCCUGAACUCUCUCUAACUCCCAAUUAACCCAAGCAGGAUAACGGUGCCAAACCUCAUCGAAAGGUUAGCGGCUCUCAGAGGGGCGCUUGAGCUGCAAAUCGUUUCAGACGAAGCUAAAGAGCGAGCAGCAGCCUCUCCUCUGCCAGAGCUGGCGCCGGGGGGCUCUGGCACUAGCUGCUUUCUCCGCAGCCGCUCCCCGGAGCGGGAUGGAUGACUCCUGUACCCCCUCGAGCAGCCCUGGGGGUGUGCAGCCCUGCUUCUGCGGAGAACAGCUUAUCCAGACCUCCCCAUCCUCCCCAGGAAACGCCACUUCCAGCCAGAGGAGCGACUGCCUUAUCUCUUCAGAGAAGGCUCGUGGGAUUUGUGGCUGGGUCUUCUGAUUAACAAGCUAAGGGAAAAGACCUAUUCGUGCUCAAAAAUCAUUUAAGGGAAGCAGAGAAGGCCAAUCCUGGGUGGGUGAGCUUUCUACAGCCCUCACUGCCAGUCCCUCUUCAUGCUGCUGGGUGGCACAGCACAGUGCCAGUUGCAUGAAGGUGUGAUUAUUUGGGAGCAGGACAGGUUCAUUGCUCAGUCAGACUCCCAGCCCCCAAAGGAUUUGACUCACCUGGGCUUUUGGUGGGCUGUGAACUGCCACAAACACACUGGGCUGCAAAUUGUGACCAUGUGAAAAGGGGGACUUGUAAAUCCUGCUUGUUCAUUCUCACCCUCCUUUGCAGUACUCACGAAAAGUGUGGGUGACUGAAUGCAGGUGUGUAACCCUCUGAUUCCUGCUCGGUUUCCUUACUCAUGCCAUAAUAAUUCCUGAAAAUCUGCUGCCGGGCAUCUCCAGCAGAGCUGCCAGCUGCAGAAACAAGAAGGCUGAGGGGCACCUUCUGCCUAAUGACCUGAGAAGAUUCCGUGGUCACUUCUGCCCAUGGAGCAGACAUCGUGCAGUCAGCUCAGGCAGUCACUCUCAGAGCAGUAGCCACCCCCCUGGACAUGCACCUGGGUACUUAGAGAGGUGAUCCCAGGUGUGGGAAGCAGUCCUCCUUCCCCCAGCCACUGCCAAAAGCACCUCUAGAUGCCAUCCCCACAGCAUCAGUGAUGCACAAGCUUAUUCUCAGCUCUUGUCCAUGAGUGGCUGCACAGCAGUGCCCUUCAUCCCAGCUCGGCCUCCUGUGCCCCCUCUGAUACCACGUUGGGAACUCCGACAGGAUAAUAAAGAGUCGCACAAUAUAGUAUAAAAAGGCAAUUAGACAAAUUGCUGGACUGGGACCAGCUCCCGUGACCUAGUUAGUAGCUCUGGGAAUUUCAGGAAGGUAGGGAAGGGAAAGGCCUCGGUAUCAGGAUGUGGUGAGUGGGUUUUGGAGGGGAGGAUGGGCUGUGGGAUGCAGUCCAGCACGCUGGAAUGCCCCAGGCCUUGGGUUCCACCUUCUCCCUGUUGCCCAUGUUUAGAGCUGACUGACAUGUUGAAGGUACAAGGCAAAAAUGCUGGAUGCAGAAUCACACAGGCUGCUGCUUGUUUUGUGCUCUGGCUGUUGAGGCUGAAUUCACAGUUUGGUGUUCAAGACAAGGACAGCUGCAGCCAGGCUGACAGACACUGCAAUAAAAUAACCAUAACACAGUAAAAUCCAGAGGCAAAGUCUCCAGGAGAAAGCCCGCAGUGGAUGUCCCCUCUUUAUUUAAUUUUUUUACUGAACACAAAAUGGCUGCCUAAAUUAUAGAGACAUAAAACAAAGACUGAGCAUAUAAAGGGCUGUGAAUAUCAUCAUUUUAGAUUAACAUGUCUUACAGUAAGAAAAUUUGCCAGGAGAAUAUGUAAAAACUAAAUAAAGGCAUCUUGAUUUAACCUCACUAUUUACAAAAUAGACAGCUUCUCAUCUCUAAUUUGGGAGACAGUUUAUACAUGAAUUUCUGUGACUUUCAUUUCCCAGAAGGGAGGAGCCCCGAUAAACCAUUAUCAUCUAUAAGCUAAAAAUUUAUUUGCAAUUUGACCACAACAUUCCCAAUAAGACGGAAUUAAAUUUAGCUUGUAGUUUGUCUCUAUGGUUGACAUCAAAAUUAAGUGAUAACCAUUGGGCACUUGCAGUACCAAAUCCCAGCUCAUUACAAAAAUUUUAUUGUUCCCAUGAGCUUAACAGCAUUUUCAUGGACUUAAUACAUAAAGCUUCAUCAAUGUCAAAUUAAAUAUUCAUAUAUAUACAUGCGCUUGUAUUUCACAGGAAAUACUGUGACUAUGACAUAGUCUUUCCCAGACUAUGGAGUGGGAAAGGAAAGCACAUACUUCAUAGGUGCCAAGCUUUUUAAUGUCAACUUUCAAAUAAAAAGCUCUUCUGCUGCA